AUUUUGUGAUUAUAUAUGCAAAUGGCCAGGAAUAUAUUGUAUUUCAUCUACAUCAUAGGUUGCAGUUACACUUUUGUAUUGAAGAAGUUUCAGGGCUGCCUGGGUGGCUCAGUAGGUUAAGUGUCAAACUUUGGCUCAGGUCAUGAUCUUGGGGUCCUGGGAUCAAGCCCUGUGUCUGGUCUCUGCAUUCAGCAGGGAGUCUGCUUCUCCCUCUCCCUCUGCCCCUCCCCUUGCUCAUGCUCAUUCGCUCUCUCUUUCUCUCCCCCAAAAAUAAAAUCUUUAAAAAAAAAGAAGUUGUAAAAAUAUCAACCAGCGUCUACUUAAAAUGUAUUGUGAGGAAGACAGGCAUACGCUUAAUUGCCAACAGAAGAUUAGACUCUGAUAUUCAAGUGAGGCCCAUUUGACAUAUGGAAGUUCGAUACCUCUGUUUAUUUCAAUCCAAGUGUGGAAACCACCAAAGAACAGAAAAACACCCAAAACUCCACCAAGUGCCAAUGUUCCUCCAGUGACAUGAUGUCUCUUGAAAGAAUGUCAUGCUCUAACGGAUGCAGAAAAAAAGCAAAGAUCUGAAGCAACUGGACUAAAGGGAUCGCCAUGGCAAUCAAGUACCAAAUCAGAAGAGGGCUUCUUUUUUGGUCUGGGGAGUUUUUGCUUUUCGGAAACAUCAUGUGUUGCUUUCUCCAAGCAUCACACACACACACACACACACACACACACACACACACACCAAAAAAAAUACACAGCUUACUAAAUUUAGUUGCAGCUCUGUCACAACAAUGAUGACAAAAUUUUCCUCCGACCACAAUGUGUUUGAGCACAAAUGGUUCCUCUUUCCAGGUUCUGGUUUGUACAUAUACAAAUUCCUAGUGAGGUGACACUCACUCUCCCACAGCAAGACUCCUUCCUGAGGAUGGACAGUGAGGACUCAGCUGUACUCUGGCCGGGCGAAGGCACCGAAGGAAUGAAACUAUAUCCCAGAUGGGGCUUCGCCAUAGCACCUUGCACGCGGAGCCUGCCUGGGGACAAAAGAGUAAGAGGAAACAGGAAACUGAAUGGCACUAAAGGAGAAAUGAAAGAAAAAGGACGGAGAACGAAUGGGACAAUGUUAGCAGAAAGGAGAACAACAGAAGCGGAACCGUAAGAGACAAGGGAACCCUGAAGAUGAGAGUACUAGAACUUCUAAUAAUAGUUCCCAUUUAUUAGUCCUUACUAUAUGUUAGGCACUGGAUUAACAUUCGCUGUGAGUGUCUUUAUCUCAUUUAACCCUUACAACAACCCCUGUGGUAGGCACUAUUCUGAUGCCUAUCUUACAAAAGAUAAAAAUGUGCUCUUGUAAGGAAAAAAAAAAGACUCCCAAGAGCCCAGCCUUGAAAAGAUGUGAAGAGAGGAAAGGAGAAAAAGAAACAGAAAAAAAUGGGAUAAGUGACACAAAAGCAGAUGGUAAAAUCAGCAUAAAUGUAUUAAAACUAAAGUCUACAAAGAAUUUGACAAAUCCUGGGCACCUGGGUGGCUCAGGCAGUUAAGCAUCUGACUUGAUUUCUGCUAGGGUCAUGGUCUCAGAGUGGUGAGAUGGAGCCCCAUGUUGGGCUCCAUGCUCAGUGUGGAGUCUGCUUGAGAUUCUCUCUCUCCCUCUCCCUCUGCCCCUCCUCCCUACUUGUUCUCUCUUUCUCUCUCUCUCACUCUCUCUCAUAAAUAAAUAAAAUCUUUUAAAAAAAGGAAUUGGACA
rnacentral:lncRNA from 12 species